UACGAAGGGUGCAAGCGUUACUCGGAAUUACUGGGCGUAAAGCGUGCGUAGGUGGUGAGUUAAGUCUGUCGUGAAAGCCCCGGGCUCAACCUGGGAAUGGCGAUGGAUACUGGCUCGCUAGAGUGCGGUAGAGGAGAGUGGAAUUCCCGGUGUAGCAGUGAAAUGCGUAGAGAUCGGGAGGAACAUCAGUUGCGAAGGCGGCUCUCUGGACAGUUACUGACACUGAGGCACGAAGGCCAGGGGAGCAAACGGG
rnacentral:rRNA from 1 species